UCAAACGUAACAACACAUGGAAUAUACUUUGUUUUCUGUAUCUUAAUUCAUGUCUGUUUUGUUAAAUUGAAAAAAAUCUGAUAACAAUAUGAUGUAUGCAAGGUGAAGAUAACGAAAAGUGAUCAAUCUCAUAACUCCUACAAGCAAUACAAAAUAGAUAGUUAGGCAAACACGGACCCCUGGACACACCAGAGGUGGGAUCAGGUGUCUAGGAGGAGUAAGCAUCCCCUGUUGACCGGUCACACCCUCCGUGAGCUCCAUAUCCUGAUCAGGUAGACGGAGUUAUCCGCAGUCAAAAUCUGUGUGCCAAGGACGGCUUAACAAUCGGUAUGAAAUACGUCAGACAACUUUUGACUCAAUGCGUAUAAAGUGCUUACUAUUCUUUUCUCACUUAAAUUUUAAAGUUUUUGUGUGAUUUUUUUUUAUGUGCAUUUCAAUUAUUUAUUGUAUGUUAUUACUUUAAAAGCCUCAGAAUUUUAGUUAAGUUUCAGCAUUGCAGAGACCAUUAGGAAUCAUAGUCUACAGUUUCCGCAGACUGAAACUUAACGGAAACUAUAUAAUUGUUUACGCACUGUAGAAACCAUACGGGAAACCUCAACUUCAGGUUUCCGCAGACUGAAACUUGACGGAAACUUGCGGAAUCUAUAUAAUUGUUUACGCAUUGCAGAAACCAUAUGGGAAACCUCAACGUCAAGUUCCCGCAAGGUUUCCAUAUGGUUUCAGUUUUGCGGAAACUAGCGUUUUUAUCCAGUGUGAAGUCUCGAGCAAAGCUAUAAACUUAAGGAAAUAAAAAUAUCACCAGAAUGCCAUGGGAUUGGACGAGUACGUCUCUUUGGUUGAUCAGUUUCGACCGUGAGGUACAGUCAUACGUGGAAUGUGCUGAUUGAAGUAAAGAUACGACUGGCAUUGUCAUAAACAAUAUAAAAAUGAAGAGGUGUUGUGUUUAAAUUUGCUUAACUGCAUCAUUUUAUACAAGAGGCAUGACAAUAACUUGUAUUGUCUCCUAAUUCUCCUAAUUACAAAAUAAAAUGUUAACACCACUAAUGGAAUAAUCAAUAAAUUACAUGAACUGUCACUAUUCCUUUUAUCCUGGCGAAGUUUAUAAAAGCUGAUUGUGGCGUUUUAUAUUAAGCGGUGGACACAAAUCAAACUUGCCUCGAUUGACAACUCUAAUAGCAGCGAUAUUUCGUGAGGGAACUGAUACAUGUAUUGGUUUGAACAUUUAAUGUAGGUAAAUACGUAAUUGCAAAAUUUCGGAGCCUCUAGGAUUUGUUUCAUGAAAGGCAAGGGUAGCGAACAGGUAUUAAUAACAUAACUCCUAAAAGCGUAGGCCUACAUUUUACAGCUUGUCAUCGGCAAUGGUUACGUCUCCAUAUGAGUGAAUAAUUCUCGAGAGGUAUGCUGCACAAUAUACAACAAUUCAAUCAAUCGAUGUAAGAUCAAUUAGAAUGGUCUAGUCAAAUGAAUAGGUUUGAUAGUUCUCGUAAUAUGGGUGACUUCCGGUGUCCACGGGGAUGAUUUUCACAAAGUGUUGCUGUCUAUAUCUCGUAAGUAUAUUGUUUCCCAACAUUAUCACUAUUGUUGACUUUGUGUUAUUUUUUUUUUAUAUUUAUUACCUUCAUAUUUUGUAACAUUAGCUCACUCCAACAGUGCAACAUUAUUUGACGGUGGUAUAACCUUGACCAUAAUCAUUUCCAAUGGAACAUUUCUUUGGAAUCAAGGUUAGAAUAUACCCUCGGUAACCCGUGUUUGCCGUAAGAGGAAACUAAAUGGGCCAGCCCUUCAUAUGAAACAGCGAAAACAGAGGUCCUGUGAUACAGCAGGUGUAACACGAUAAAGACGUAUCCUUACUCCAAGGCCGUAUACAGUGGACAUAGGCGUCUAUUUUGAAGCCCUUCAUUGUUAAUAGUGACUGCUCCACAAGAGUGCACGAUUCUCGAAUGAGGCAUUUAACACUUUACAAUCAACCAAACGAUGGUGCCACAUUUCAUGACGCUAACAUUGAAUAAUCACAAAUCAUGGACAAUUCAUUGAUAUAUUAGCUUUGCUAUUCGUUGGUAUAAUCUUUGAAAUUACCUUUCCCAUAGCACAUGUUUUACAUGUACAUGUAUCGCCACGGAUUAUGACGCUUCCCACACACAUCAUUGCCAACCAUUACACUCAAUAUCUCUUAUUCUCCUUUUCAUGUUUUGAAAUGUCUUAUGUACACCUUUUGUAAAACGAUAUACAAACGGUCUACUUUAGAACAUAUUUUAUUUUUUUCCAAAUAGCAAACCGAAUAAUCUUUCACAGCAACAAAAUGUGAUUUGGUUACACAUAUUCAUACGGUAUAUACUAACAAGAUAUCGUCUAUAUAAUCAACUCCACCCAAUAUAUUCUAUGUCUCUUCAAUUGUUACUUCAUUUCACAAAACAACAUUUUGAAUUUAAAUAUAAUCUGCUUCGAAGGUGACAAAAUGGCAAUAUGAUAAAAAGUAAAUAUAUGCUGACUCUUAGAAGAAUGCAAAGUUGGUCUUUGUCACUACGGUAAAGGCAACACUCAGUAGUUAAUGACAUACGUUAAUGCAAAUUGCUAGAUAUUUUUAUUUGGAAAUUACUUUCAAAUCCACAAUGGAUCACAAAAAAAUAUUUCCAGUGAAUGUAUUAUUUUCUAUUUCAGUUCUUUACUUCUGCAAAUACAUCGAAAACAAUAUAACGCCCCCUUCCAGUAAGAAUCAGUGCAUCGUCUGUACUACGAGUACCAUGGGACAUCAAGUUUGAAGUUUAUAACAUUAUCGUUAAUCUACCUUGCAGUAUCAAUGAACAUCUACUUUGGCAUCUUCUGUCGUUGUUUUUUCUUUUCGAUCAGCCAAAGCACUCGAACUCUAGCUGUUAAAUGUAAAUUAAUUACCCUGGAAAUAAUAAAGAUGAACGUCUGUAAACAUUUCAUUUUACGCUUGCAUUAAUUGUACACACGAUUUGACCAAUAUUUCCGCGUUUGGAGCUAGAAAUAAUUUUGUGACAUCACAACAUGCACAUAUUUGAAUGCUGGGAUCAUUGUAUCGUCAGGCCGCUAAUAAAUGCAAUUGCUAAAUGAUUCUGGAAUGUGCUGAUACAUGGCAGGCUAUCAUUUGUCGAUUACACAGUAAUUACACCAAGAUACACGAUACUCCUUCGUUUUACGGUUGCUUAUUUCAACUUCCAUCAUGCUGCAUCCAGAAUACUCAGUGUCACUCAUGAUGUGAAUACCCAUGUCAAGCGUUUCACCGUAUUAGAUUAGAUAUGUUAUACGGUCUGUGAUGACACUGACACGUAACUCAUUCUGUCCAUUCUCUGUCCAAGUAUCUUAACAUCGCGUUCACAAUUUCAAAUCAGAUGGUGAAAUGAUUCGUUCAACAGGACGUAGACAUGUGUGAUGAAUUACAACUUCGACAGAAAUUUUGUAACCCCACACAUUCAGCGACAAUGGAAAGAAACGCAAAUAAAUGUCUAUACGUGCUCGCACCAAACAAAUAGUCUUUACAUUGUUAUUUCUUGAGAUAAUGUCAUGAGUAGCUGCACUGUAUAGUCCCAGUGUGCACCUUGGGGAUACUGAAGACGUAAAGCAAUAAUUUCAAAAAGAUACGUACAUUUAAAGGGAAGAUGUUGGAAGUGGAAAAGGGUCGUCUUUAUUACAUGUAAUAAUGGAUUAUAAAUCGGACGGUCAUGUGAUUAAACAGGCAGCAUCAAUCAAAAAGACACUGUAAGAUAAAGAUGUCAUUCUGUCAUAGUUUGUGUCGAUGAAGGUUGGAAAUUAUAUUUUCAUUAUGUAAAAGCUCUUGACAGUCUUUAAUUCACCUUUUCUGAAACUAAAGAUGAGCAAUCACCUUUUAGAAAAAAUACACAAUGAAAAGAUGGAAGUCUAUCUCUUGCCAAUAUUUCAUUUUACAGAAACGCUGAUGAAAGGCGAUCUUUUAUGCAGUUGUGCUGUCUACGGAUGAUAACAGGAAAUAAUGGCAAUGCCCAAGAGCAGACCCUCGGGGAUGUCAAAAGAAAGAAAUUGCUGAGUGGAUUUCCAAAAAAAAAAUAUGGGCAAUAUAUAGAUAUUUGGCACACAUAUUUUGAUUACGGAUUAGUAUAUGCACCUUAUCAGGACGCAAGACUCACGAUGGGUGUAACCGGUUGACAGAGGGUGCUUACUCAUCCAAGGCAUCAUAUCCGCCUAUUGUAUGUCCAGGAAUCCGUGUUUCCUAUACUGAUCGUUAUCUUCACCUUGCAUAUUUCUUAUAGGAGUAAUGACAUUGAUCACAGUUCGUUAUCUUCACCUUUCAUAAGGACAUGGACAACAAUACUCCAUGAAUAGCUAACGUGGUAUGAUGAUGUAAAGUGCAUAAGUUAGUGUCCUCAUACAUUGUUAAAACAAUAUUCACAAAUUACGUUACCGUCUUUUUCUACAAAGUGUAUGUACGUGAAUUGAAUAUAUUAAAAAAAAAACCUUAGCAUAUAAGCAAAUAGACAUCCUAACGUUAUGAUGUAGUCAUUGUCAUAUUUUAUCAGACUAUUCUGAAUAAAAAAUAAAUGAAACACUUGAAAUUCAAACAUACAAACAUGAAUAACGAUUAAACAUGUGCACGUGGGUGAAAAUGCUGGUAUUGAAUGUGUGAUCUAAAUUAUACAGCUGACAAAAUACAAACAUGGCUAAAGUAGAAUUAGAUAAUCGGAAAUAUAUCUACAGCUUUCAAAAUAUGUUCUCUCCCUGGGAUUAUAUUUACUAUUUACCGCUAAUGUUCACGUAUAUAUCCAUUGAUUUGUAAAGGAGUGAGAUACUGUCCUGCUUCGAUGUACAAUUUGUCAUUUAACAGAAGGACUAGAAAUUAAUCAUUCAUAUAAUAUUAGCUUACAAUUGUAAGUAUUGAUGAAUUCCAACUGUUUUAAAAGCAUAGUGGAAACAAGGGUGUCAUUGGUACUUUUAUCUAAAUUCAUCCUAAGAAAUAAACUGAUUAGUUUGGAUUUGAAUGUAAGGAUUCACAAAUAUGGAGUACUAAAUGCCUAUCAAAUUGUAGGGAACUUUAAGGAUAAUAAUUCAAUCUUGAUACUGAGCUAUACAGGUAUGUAGCAUCGUUUGAUAAAGUGGUGGAUAUACGGAGUUCACUCUUGCAUUGUAAUUUUAAAAAAAAAUGAUUUGGCAUACUUCUCUUCAAGUCUUUAAAUCCUAAAUCGUAGGAUGGGACAGAGGUUCGUUCAUCUACUCUUUAAUUCAAUUUAAUUCGACACUUUACACGUCAACUACAUUUCACUAUUUUAGGAAUGAGGGUAGCCAAUAAAUCCCACUUCCACAUACAAAAUAUUGGCUUUGGAACCCUAGACCGGAAAUGGUAAAUUUUGAAAAGGGGAAGACAACCUCAUGUUUUUCGUACAUAAUUUAAUAUUUACACGAAAUACAGCAUAGUGUCAUAAAUGAAUCAAUUUUCGGUUGUUAUGCUUCAUUGAAAAAUAGUAUUUGUUUUAACAGUCAUUUUGAACUAAUUUGGCUCUACUUUUCAUGAAAUUUAAAAGAUUUUCGAACAACACAUCUGAACAUAAGUUAUAUUAUUGAUUUUGAAAGCCUUUACAAACAACUUUAUAGUUGUUAUGAGAUUGGUCACUGUUCGUUAUCUUCACCUUUGUAGUUGUUAUAAGAUUAAUCACUGUUCGUUAACUUCACCUUUCAUAUUUUGAUUCACAGUGACACAUAUCAUUUGGGCGGUUUGUUGAUUUGUAAAAUGUUCUGAAUUUCUGUAUGAUACAGGUUAGUAUUAUAAUCCACUAUUUACUGACUUACUUAAUCGACUUACAUUAUAACUGGAUAUGUACGAGUUGUAUCUGCAUAAGGGGAGGCUGUCCGUACAUAUAUUUUAUACAUCAGGGUGUGUAUGGUAUGUGAAAGAAAAGUAGUUGAUCAUUUUGUCGUUUCUGCGAUCAAUAAUGGUGAAACCGGUCGACAGGGAAUGUUUACUCCUCCUAGGCACCUGAUGACACAUCUGGUAUGUCAAAAGACCCGUGUUUGAUGGACUCUUAUGUUCCCUGUAGGUGUUAUGACAUGACUCGCUGUUUCUUACCUGUACAAUAUGUAUAUAUUUAAUGCAGUGGAAGAAUCGUAUAGUUUUUCACGCGGUAUUGUGUUACGUGUCCGGGCUGAAUAUUUAGGUUUAAUAAUUUAACAUGAGAAACCUACACCUGACAACUCAUAAACGUACCUAGUCCCACCAGUGACCAGUCUUCCAUGGUGUAUUCUUAUUUCCUUGCGGUCGUUUACCGUUUUUAUAUUUAAUUUUCUGUUUCAUCAAUUUCAGAAGGCACUCAUAAGAAGACAAUUCCUGCAAUCCCUGUGUGUAUCGUGGCAGAAUUACAACCAAAAGAAGACAACUGUUUGUGUAGUUUUGCAGUUUUUGAGGAAACUAAAAAAAAAUCGCUUUUUUCUGAAAACCCAUAUAGAGGAAGCGGACAUAUAGAAGAAAAUUGACUCUUCUCAAGAAACCUGUACACUUGACUCCUGUUUAUGACUACAACAAUAUGUACACUUGGCUCUUGUCUAUCACUACAUUGAUAACAGUUUACGUUAUAGGCUAAUAAGAAAUAUGUGUCCUGCAUUAAAACCAACAGGAAAAUAAGGGAUUGGGACCGGAUGACCCUUGUUAAAUAUUUUAAAGUGAGGUUUACACACUUAAAAUCGUGAAAGGUGUCGAAUGCCGAUUUCAAAAUGGAGUGGAGUAAACUGGAAAAUAUUUUUGAAAGGAUUACAAAAAAAAAAAACCACGAUAGUUGGAAAAUCUGCUGUAACGAUCAAAGAGAAUCCAGGAAAAAUCAAUACACGGGUCUUUAAAGUAGACGACAUCAGAGUAAAUAAUGAACUAAUCGAAGGAAAUAUAUAUGACGAUAGAAUCAAAAUGUGCGGCAGAAUUACUAUAUCAUGCAAGGUGGGGAGCACAGUACAGAGACUAGACGUAAACAGUGACAAAUUCAGUUAAUGUUAUCGAAAUACUAGGGAGAACAGAUUAUUUCUUAUUUCUUAUGAACUAAGGUGUUGUUAUAUUGUUGAUUUUCCCGGUAAUUAUAUAUACUGGGAAGUCACUGGAGGUUUGUCUUAUUUCAUUAUCAAUGUAUAAUAUAGUUUGGCGGGGUGUAAUGCACUUAUUUUAAAAAUACAGUCCUUUUAUUCAACAGGUAAUUUGAA